CUGCUCACUUCAGCAGCAUAUAUACUACAAUUGGAACAAUACAAAGAAGAUUAGUAUGGCCUCUGAGCAAGAAUGACAUGCAAAUUCCCGAGGCAUUCCAUAUUUUU